rnacentral:rRNA from 1 species
CGUACGUGGUACGGAUAUGAAAGUUGAAGGACUCCGCUUUCGGGUGGAGAGCGUACACAGGUGCUGCAUGGCUGUCGUCAGCUCGUGUCGUGAGAUGUUGGGUUAAGUCCCGCAACGAGCGCAACCCUGCAUUCAGUUGCCAUCCGGGUGAAGCCGGGCACUCUGGAAGGACUGCCAUCGACAAGAUGGAGGAAGUGGGGACGACGUCAAGUCAUCAUGGCCCUUAUGUCCAGGGCGACACACGUGCUACAAUGGCCGGCACAACGGGAAGCGAGUUCGCGAGGACGAGCGGAUCCCUUAAAGCCGGCCGCAGUUCGGAUUGAAGUCUGCAACUCGACUUCAUGAAGCUGGAAUCGCUAGUAAUCGCAGAUCAGCCAAGCUGCGGUGAAUACGUUCCCGGGCCUU